AUGCACGCUGGCGGCGUGCCUAAUACAUGCAAGUCGCGCGAACAGACGAGGAGCUUGCUCCUCUGACGUUAGCGGCGGACGGGUGAGUAACACGUGGAUAACCUACCUAUAAGACUGGGAUAACUUCGGGAAACCGGAGCUAAUACCGGAUAAUAUAUUGAACCGCAUGGUUCAAUAGUGAAAGACGGUUUUGCUGUCACUUAUAGAUGGAUCCGCGCCGCAUUAGCUAGUUGGUAAGGUAACGGCUUACCAAGGCAACGAUGCGUAGCCGACCUGAGAGGGUGAUCGGCCACACUGGUACUGAGACACGGUCCAGACUCCUACGGGAGGCAGCAGUAGGGAAUCUUCCGCAAUGGGCGAAAGCCUGACGGAGCAACGCCGCGUGAGUGAUGAAGGUCUUCGGAUCGUAAAACUCUGUUAUUAGGGAAGAACAAAUGUGUAAGUAACUAUGCACGUCUUGACGGUACCUAAUCAGAAAGCCACGGCUAACUACGUG
rnacentral:rRNA from 1 species